ensembl:lncRNA
AGAUGCUACUGGUUAGAUGGCAUUUUGUUAAGCUGCUUGUCAAGAACCUCACCACAGCAGAAGACAUGGAUGCAGGGAGUUCACCAGUCCAGAGACUGAAGCUCUUCUGAGGUUUGGCCUUUAGGAAUCCUUCCACGUCACUGACUUCACCGGGUGCUCCUUUUGUCUCUACAAAAGCAAAAGAGUGAAAGGCAUUCUAUUGUUUGUUGCCAUAAGCAUUUCUCCAGAUAGGAAUAAGAAAACCUAAGCUCUAAAGAACUGGAUCGCAAGUGAUGGUGCAGAAAGAAGUGAAAGGAUUCAGCAUUGUGCAUUUUUUUCCUUUUUUUCUGUCUCCAGAAGAAAAUUACUGUCUGAAUAAAUGGUUCCAGUGCUCUGUCUGACAUCUUGUUAUACUGUUGUAUAAACAUUGAAGAUAGAGGUAUUCUGAAGUAAAACAUUAAUAUGGAAUAAGGAUCUUCAUUUUUGAUUCUUCACUUGAUUUAUUUAUUUUUUCCUUCUGACAUCUGCUCAAACUGAUGGUGGAAUCGGUGUUGUCAUCUGAUUGUGGAGCACUCUGUUCAAUGGUAAACAGAUCAGCUGAUGCUGAGGCACAUCUGUGUGAGGAGUCCUGAAGGACAAUGAGACUUGGUUUUGAAGAGAUGAUCUGAGCUGCGUUACUGCUACCUCUUAGGAGUGAAGGGCUCAACUUCUAUGAAGUUUCUCAUGAAACGGAUGCAAUCAAGGAGAACUGAGAUGGACUGAAAUAUGAGAUGGUUCUUGCAUAUUAUGGGUGUAGCAGCCAGGUGGGAAAAUGAGAAGUGUUUAACGGAACUCUGGCAGAUGCAACCUACUGCAUGUCUACCUCUCACAGGAAAAGGGUUGUGAUGGCCUUAGACAUGGAAGUACAAAGUUUAAACUGUUAUGGCAUAGUACUCAAUUCACUGGUAGCUGCCAUCUAUUCCUAAAGAUCGAAUGAAGUAUUUCACCUUUGAGCACCUUUAAAUAUCAUUAAACAUCAUUGCUGCCU